GACGAACGCUGGCGGCGUGCUUAACACAUGCAAGUCGAGCGGUAAGGCCCCUUCGGGGGUACACGAGCGGCGAACGGGUGAGUAACACGUGAGCAAUCUGCCCUUCACACGGGGAUAACUUCGGGAAACCGGAGCUAAUACCCGAUACGACCACCUCGGGCAUCCGAUGGUGGUGGAAAGCUCGGGCGGUGAAGGCUGCGCUCGCGGCCUAUCAGCUUGUUGGUGGGGUAACGGCCCACCAAGGCAACGACGGGUAGCCGGCCUGGGAGGGUGAGCGGCGAGACUGGGACCGAGGCACGGCCAAGAGGGGUACGGGAGGCAGGAGUGGGGAAUAUUGGACAAUGGGAGAAAGCCUGUGCCAGCAACGCGGCGUGAGGGAGGACGGCCUUCGGGUUGUAAACCUCUUUCAGCAGGGACGAGGCGCAAGUGACGGUACCUGCAGAGGAAGCACCGGCCAACUACGUGCCAGCCGCCGCGGUAA
rnacentral:rRNA from 1 species